AUUGAACGCUAGCGGGAUGCCUUACACAUGCAAGUCGAACGGAGUGCCGAACGGGUGAGUAAUGUAUCGGAACGGGCCCAGUACCGGGGGAUAACUACGCGAAAGCGUAGCUAAUACCGCAUACUAUCGGAGCCGCCGAUAUCGGAUUAGCUAGUUGGUGGGGUAACGGCUCACCAAGGCGACGACCCGUAGCUCGUUUGAGAGGACGACCAGCCACACUGGGACUGAGACACGGCCCAGAUUCCUACGGUGGGCAGCAGUGGGGAAUUUUGGACAAUGGGGGAAACCCGGAUGCAGCCAUCCCGCGUGUGCGAUGAAGGCCUUCGGGUUGUAAAGCACUUUUGGCAGGAAAGCGGUACCUGCAGAAUAAGCACCGGCUAACUACGUGCCAGCAGCCGCGGUAAUUC
rnacentral:rRNA from 1 species